UGGAGCAUGUGGUUUAAUUCGAAGCAACGCGAAGAACCUUACCAGGUCUUGACAUCCUCUGACAAUCCUAGAGAUAGGACGUCCCCUUCGGGGGCAGAGUGACAGGUGGUGCAUGGUUGUCGUCAGCUCGUGUCGUGAGAUGUUGGGUUAAGUCCCGCAACGAGCGCAACCCUUGAUCUUAGUUGCCAGCAUUCAGUUGGGCACUCUAAGGUGACUGCCGGUGACAAACCGGAGGAAGGUGGGGAUGACGUCAAAUCAUCAUGCCCCUUAUGACCUGGGCUACACACGUGCUACAAUGGACAGAACAAAGGGCAGCGAAACCGCGAGGUUAAGCCAAUCCCACAAAUCUGUUCUCAGUUCGGAUCGCAGUCUGCAACUCGACUGCGUGAAGCUGGAAUCGCUAGUAAUCGCGGAUCAGCAUGC
rnacentral:rRNA from 1 species